UACGUAGGGUGCGAGCGUUUGUCCGGAAUUAUUGGGCGUAAAGGGCUCGUAGGCGGUUUGUCGCGUCGGGAGUGAAAACACUGGGCUUAACUCAGUGCUUGCUUCCGAUACGGGCAGACUAGAGGUAUUCAGGGGAGAACGGAAUUCCUGGUGUAGCGGUGAAAUGCGCAGAUAUCAGGAGGAACACCGGUGGCGAAGGCGGUCUCCUGG
rnacentral:rRNA from 1 species